GUUCGCCGGAGGAAGAAGCGCCGAGUUUGCCGGAGGAAAAAGAACGUCUGUCGAGCCGUGCAUUGUCUCCUGUGGCGGCUACACAAGAGGCCCUUAAGAUGAGUGAUGAACAUCUGUCGAGCCGUCCAAUGUUGUAUAUGGCAGCUACACCAGAGCCGUUGUCUCCUUAGACCUCACCGCCAUCGUCUCCGCCGACUUCGCCGCAAGACAAUCUGCCAUCGCCUCCGCUGACUUUGCCGGAAGACCAUCAACC